CUUAAAGAGAGCGUGACGUUGAAGGUGUCAAGGUGAUUAUUAUAUCUUUAAAUA
rnacentral:tRNA from 1 species